rnacentral:snRNA from 1 species
UGACUUACCUGGCAGGGGAGACACCAUGAUCACGAAGGUAGUUUUCCUAAGGUGUGGCUUAUCCUUUGCACUUCAGGCGUGCUGACCCCCCACGAUUUCCCCAAAUGUGGGGAACUUGACUGCAUAAUUUGUAGUACUGGGAUCCCCAGA